CGGAAGUGGCUUUUUGAGCGCCUUUUAUCAUAUGCGGUAAUUGGAAGGAGAUUACGGCAGGGGAAACAAAAACGUAAAGGACUCAAAGAAACCAGUGUGGCCACUGCUGACUGAAAGGAAAGAUCUUUCAGAGGGAAUGUGAAAAUUCACUCACCCCUUUGAUGCUGCUUCCCUGUAUCUGCUGGCCCUCUGAUAGCAGUGUGGAUGAUGAUGAUGAUGACCACGAUUGUUCACUAGAAGAUAGAUGUCGCAUCUCAGGGUAUUUGCGUCACUUCAUUGAGACGGCAUCCAGCUCUGACCUUAAGGACUUG